GGGUCAGUAGGUUGGUCGUGCCACCGGUACGUACUGGUCUCACUGAUUCCUCCUUCCUGAAGAACCGUAAUGCCAUUAAUUUGGUGUUGCGGGGAAACAGGACUGUUACUUUGAAGAAAUUAGAGUGUUUAAAGCAAGCUAACGCUUGAAUACAUUAGCAUGGAAUAAUGAAAUAGGACGAUCGAUCCUAUUUUGUUGGUUUCUAGGAUUGACGCA
rnacentral:rRNA from 1 species